AUGUCCGGGACCAGCGGAGGAGGCAGCGCCACCGCCGGCAAAUCGGAUCUUGGUGAUUUCAUGGAGCAGCUCAACUUAGAGGACGAAGAGUUUGAUGAUCAGGUGAUCGAGGAGGAUGAUCCUGUUAUCAAUGAAGGAGUUCGCAGGUUAGCCCUUGCUAGGGUUCACACGGGUAAAACCUUCAGAUCGACGGCGUUUUACAGAGAGAUGCGUGCAGCCUGGAAUCCGGCGAAGCAGGUGAGGUUCAGGCCCGUCGGACCAAACUUGUUCGUCGUUCAGGCGGAGUGCCUUGGAGACUGG
rnacentral:rRNA from 1 species